GUUUGAUGUCAAAUAUGAUGGCUCAACCAUCAAGAGGCGUUGAAAACUGUUUAAUCUAGAAUCUCGGAGAGGUAAGUGGAAUUCCAUGUGUAGCGGUGGAAUGCGUAGAUAUAUGGAGGAACACCAAUGGCGAAGGCAGCUUACUGGACGAAGAUUGACGCUGAGGUGCGAAAGCGUGGGUAGCAAACAGGAUUAGAUACCCUGGUAG
rnacentral:rRNA from 1 species